rnacentral:rRNA from 1 species
UGAGGAAUAUUGGUCAAUGGGCGAGAGCCUGAACCAGCCAAGUAGCGUGAAGGAUGACUGCCCUAUGGGUUGUAAACUUCUUUUAUAAAGGAAUAAAGUCGGGUAUGGAUACCCGUUUGCAUGUACUUUAUGAAUAAGGAUCGGCUAACUCCGUGCCAGCAGCCGCGGUAAUACGGAGGAUCCGAGCGUUAUCCGGAUUUAUUGGGUUUAAAGGGAGCGUAGAUGGAUGUUUAAGUCAGUUGUGAAAGUUUGCGGCUCAACCGUAAAAUUGCAGUUGAUACUGGAUAUCUUGAGUGCAGUUGAGGCAGGCGGAAUUCGUGGUGUAGCGGUGAAAUGCUUAGAUAUCACGAAGAACUCCGAUUGCGAAGGCAGCCUGCUAAGCUGCAACUGACAUUGAGGC